UACGGAGGAUCCAAGCGUUAUCCGGAUUUAUUGGGUUUAAAGGGUGCGUAGGCGGCCUGUUAAGUCAGGGGUGAAAUUUUUCGGCUCAACCGGAAGCUUGCCUUUGAUACUGAUGGGCUUGAUUACACUUGAGGUAGGCGGAAUGUGACAAGUAGCGGUGAAAUGCAUAGAUAUGUCACAGAACACCAAUUGCGAAGGCAGCUUACUAAGGUGUCAAUGACGCUGAGGCACGAAAGCGUGGGGAUCAAACAGG
rnacentral:rRNA from 2 species